GAAGAUUUGCCUGCUCUACAAAUCCUUAAAUACGAAAAUAAAAGCAAUGAAGAAAUUGCUGAGUUUUUAAAAGACUCUGGAAAUCUUGAGUAUAAAAAAGGGAAAAAAACAGAUUUGAAAAACGCGAUUCGCUUGUACACCGAAGCUAUAAAGCGUGGCCUUCAAGAUGAGAAACUUCUUAUUUCUUUAUAUAAUAAUAAGGCGU